CGCCAAGUGUGUUAUAGAGGGUGCGGGCGCUCCGCCAAGUGUCUGUAAGAGGCCAUAAAGCUGAGGGUCCCCCCCCCCGCAGUAUUAUAGAGGGUGCGGGCGCUCCGCCAAGUGUCUGUAAGAGGCCAUAAAGAUGAGGGUCCCCCCCGCAGUAUUAUAGAGGGUGCGGGCGCUCCGCCAAGUGUCUGUAAGAGGCCAUAAAGCUGAGGGUCCCCCCCCCGCAGUAUAAUAGAGGGUGCGGGCGCUCCGCCAAGUGUCUGUAAGAGGCCAUAAAGCUGAGGGUCCCCCCCCGCAGUAUUAUAGAGGGUGCGGGCGCUCCGCCAAGUGUCUGUAAGAGGCCAUAAAGCUGAGGGUCCCCCCCCGCAGUAUUAUAGAGGGUGCGGGCGCUCCGCCAAGUGUCUGUAAGAGGCCAUAAAGCUGAGGGUCCCCCCCCGCAGUAUUAUAGAGGGUGCGGGCGCUCCGCCAAGUGUCUGUAAGAGGCCAUAAAGCUGAGGGUCCCCCCCCGCAGUAUUAUAGAGGGUGCGGGCGCUCCGCCAAGUGUCUGUAAGAGGCCAUAAAGCUGAGGGUCCCCCCCCCACAGUAUUAUAGAGGGUGCGGGCGCUGCGCCAAGUGUCUGUAAGAGGCCAUAAAGCUGAGGGUCCCCCCCCUGCAGUAUUAUAAAGGGUGCGGGCGCUCCGCCAAGUGUCUGUAAAAGGCCAUAAAGCUGAGGGUCCCCCCCGCAGUAUUAUAGAGGGUGCGGGCGCUCCGCCAAGUGUCUGUAAGAGGCCAUAAAGCUGAGGGUCCCCCCCCCCCGCAGUAUUAUAGAGGGUGCGGGCGCUCCGCCAAGUGUCUGUAAGAGGCCAUAAAGCUGAGGGUCCCCCCCCCCCCCCCGCAGUAUUAUAGAGGGUGCGGGCGCUCCGCCAAGUGUCUGUAAGAGGCCAUAAAGCUGAGGGUCCCCCCCCGCAGUAUUAUAGAGGGUGCGGGCGCUCCGCCAAGUGUCUGUAAGAGGCCAUAAAGCUGAGGGUCCCCCCCCCCCGCAGUAUUAUAGAGGGUGCGGGCGCUCCGCCAAGUGUCUGUAAGAGGCCAUAAAGCUGAGGGUCCCCCCCCCGCAGUAUUAUAGAGGGUGCGGGCGCUCCGCCAAGUGUCUGUAAGAGGCCAUAAAGCUGAGGGUCCCCCCCCCCCCCGCAGUAUUAUAGAGGGUGCGGGCGCUCCGCCAAGUGUCUGUAAGAGGCCAUAAAGCUGAGGGUCCCCCCCCCCGCAGUAUUAUAGAGGGUGCGGGCGCUCCGCCAAAUGUCUGUAAGAGGCCAUAAAGCGGAGGGUCCCCCCCCCCCCGCAGUAUUAUAGAGGGUGCGGGCGCUCCGCCAACUGUCUGUAAGAUGCCAUAAAGCGGAGGGUCCCCCCCGCAGUAUUAUAGAGGGUGCGGGCGCUCCGCCAAAUGUCUGUAAGAGGCCAUAAAGCGGAGGGUCCCCCCCGCAGUAUUAUAGAGGGUGCGGGCGCUCCGCCAACUGUCUGUAAGAGGCCAUAAAGCUGAGGGUCCCCCCCCCGCAGUAUUAUAGAGGGUGCGGGCGCUCCACCAAGUGUCUGUAAGAGGCCAUAAAGCUGAGGGUCCCCCCCGCAGUAUUAUAGAGGGUGCGGGCGCUCCGCCAAGUGUCUGUAAGAGGCCAUAAAGUUGAGGGGUCCCCCCCCCCCGCAGUAUUAUAGAGGGUGCGGGCGCUCCGCCAAGUGUCUGUAAGAGGCCAUAAAGCUGAGGGUCCCCCCCCCCCGCAGUAUUAUAGAGGGUGCGGGCGCUCCGCCAAGUGUCUGUAAGAGGCCAUAAAGCUGAGGGUCCCCCCCCCGCAGUAUUAUAGAGGGUGCGGGCGCUCCGCCAAGUGUCUGUAAGAGGCCAUAAAGCUGAGGGUCCCCCCCCCGCAGUAUUAUAGAGGGUGCGGGCGCUCCACCAAGUGUCUGUAAGAGGCCAUAAAGCUGAGGGUCCCCCCCCCCGCAGUAUUAUAGAGGGUGCGGGCGCUCCACCAAGUGUCUGUAAGAGGCCAUAAAGCUGAGGGUCCCCCCCCCGCAGUAUUAUAGAGGGUGCGGGCGCUCCGCCAAGUGUCUGUAAGAGGCCAUAAAGAUGAGGGUCCCCCCCCCCCCGCAGUAUUAUAGAGGGUGCGGGCGCUCCACCAAGUGUCUGUAAGAGGCCAUAAAGCUGAGGGUCCCCCCCCCCCCAGUAUUAUAGAGGGUGCGGGCGCUCCGCCAAGUGUCUGUAAGAGGCCAUAAAGCUGAGGGUCCCCCCCCGCAGUAUUAUAGAGGGUGCGGGCGCUCCGCCAAGUGUCUGUAAGAGGCCAUAAAGCUGAGGGUCCCCCCCCCCCGUAGUAUAGAGGGUGCGGGCGCUCCGCCAAGUGUCUGUAAGAGGCCAUAAAGCUGAGGGUCCCCCCGCAGUAUUAUAGAGGGUGCGGGCGCUCCGCCAAGUGUCUGUAAGAUGCCAUAAAGCUGAGGGUCCCCCCCCCUCGCAGUAUUAUAGAGGGUGCGGGCGCUCCGCCAAGUGUCUGUAAGAGGCCAUAAAGCUGAGGGUCCCCCCCGCAGUAUUAUAGAGGGUGCGGGCGCUCCGCCAAGUGUCUGUAAGAGGCCAUAAAGCUGAGGGUCCCCCCCGCAGUAUUAUAGAGGGUGCGGGCGCUCCGCCAAGUGUCUGUAAGAGGCCAUAAAGCUGAGGGUCCCCCCUACAGUAUUAGAGAGGGUGCGGGCGCUCCGCCAAGUGUCUGUAAGAGGCCAUAAAGCUGAGGGUCCCCCCCGCAGUAUUAUAGAGGGUGCGGGCGCUCCGCCAAGUGUCUGUAAGAGGCCAUAAAGAUGAGGGUCCCCCCCCCCCGCAGUAUUAUAGAGGGUGCGGGCGCUCCGCCAAGUGUCUGUAAGAGGCCAUAAAGCUGAGGGUCCCCCCCCCCGCAGUAUUAUAGAGGGUGCGGGCGCUCCGCCAAGUGUCUGUAAGAGGCCAUAAAGCUGAGGGUCCCCCCCCGCAGUAUUAUAGAGGGUGCGGGCGCUCCGCCAAGUGUCUGUAAGAGGCCAUAAAGCUGAGGGUCCCCCCCCGCAGUAUUAUAGAGGGUGCGGGCGCUCCGCCAAGUGUCUGUAAGAGGCCAUAAAGCUGAGGGUCCCCCCGCAGUAUUAUAGAGGGUGCGGGCGCUCCGCCAAGUGUCUGUAAGAUGCCAUAAAGCUGAGGGUCCCCCCCCCUCGCAGUAUUAUAGAGGGUGCGGGCGCUCCGCCAAGUGUCUGUAAGAGGCCAUAAAGCUGAGGGUCCCCCCCGCAGUAUUAUAGAGGGUGCGGGCGCUCCGCCAAGUGUCUGUAAGAGGCCAUAAAGCUGAGGGUCCCCCCCGCAGUAUUAUAGAGGGUGCGGGCGCUCCGCCAAGUGUCUGUAAGAGGCCAUAAAGCUGAGGGUCCCCCCUACAGUAUUAGAGAGGGUGCGGGCGCUCCGCCAAGUGUCUGUAAGAGGCCAUAAAGCUGGGGGGCCCCCCCC